rnacentral:rRNA from 1 species
AAUAGAUACCCGGGUAGUCCACGCCGUAAACGAUGAGUGCUAAGUGUUAGAGGGUUUCCGCCCUUUAGUGCUGCAGCUAACGCAUUAAGCACUCCGCCUGGGGAGUACGGCCGCAAGGCUGAAACUCAAAGGAAUUGACGGGGGCCCGCACAAGCGGUGGAGCAUGUGGUUUAAUUCGAAGCAACGCGAAGAACCUUACCAGGUCUUGACAUCCUCUGCCAACCCUAGAGAUAGGGCGUUCCCCUUCGGGGGACAGAGUGACAGGUGGUGCAUGGUUGUCGUCAGCUCGUGUCGUGAGAUGUUGGGUUAAGUCCCGCAACGAGCGCAACCCUUGAUCUUAGUUGCCAGCAUUCAGUUGGGCACUCUAAGGUGACUGCCGGUGACAAACCGGAGGAAGUGGGGAUGACGUCAAAUCAUCAUGCCCCUUAUGACCUGGGCUACACACGUGCUACAAUGGAUGGUACAAAGAGCUGCGAACCCGCGAGGGUAAGCGAAUCUCAUAAAGCCAUUCUCAGUUCGGA